GGGAACUGAAACAUCUAAGUACCCCGAGGAAAAGAAAUCAACCGAGAUUCCCCCAGUAGCGGCGAGCGAACGGGGAGGAGCCCAGAGCCUGAAUCAGUGUGUGUGUUAGUGGAAGCGUAUGGAAAGGCGCGCGAUACAGGGUGACAGCCCCGUACACAAAAAUGCACAUACUGUGAGCUCGAUGAGUAGGGCGGGACACGUGGUAUCCUGUCUGAAUAUGGGGGGACCAUCCUCCAAGGCUAAAUAC
rnacentral:rRNA from 1 species